GACGAACGCUGGCGGCGUGCUUAACACAUGCCAGUCGAACGAGGUCCAUGCAGUCGCAAGCCUGCGGAAGAUCUAGUGGCGAACGGGUGCGUAACACGUGAGAAACCUGUCCCGGUCUCUGGAAUAACAAGUGGAAACACUUGCUAAUACCGGAUGCCGUCGGACCAUCGCAUGAUGGACUGACGAAAGGGCUACCGGAUCGGGAGGGUCGCGCGGCCUAUCAGCUUGUUGGUGAGGUAACGGCUCACCAAGGCAUCGCCGGGUAGCUGGUCUGAGAGGAUGAUCAGCCACACUGGGACUGAGACACGGCCCAGACUCCUACGGGAGGCAGCAGUGGGGAAUCUUGCACAAUGGGCGAAAGCCUGAUGCAGCAACGCCGCGUGCGGGAAGAAGGCCCUAGGGUUGUAAACCGCUUUCAGCAGGGAAGAAACUGACGGUACCUGUAGAAGAAGGUGCGGCCAACUACGUG
rnacentral:rRNA from 1 species